UACGUAGGGUCCGAGCGUUGUCCGGAAUUAUUGGGCGUAAAGGGCUCGUAGGCGGUUUGUCGCGUCGGGAGUGAAAACCUACAGCUUAACUGUGGGCUUGCUUUCGAUACGGGCAGACUUGAGGCAUGCAGGGGAGAACGGAAUUCCUGGUGUGAGCGGUGAAAUGACGCAGAUAUCAGGAGGAACACCGAUGGCGAAGGCAGGUCUCUGGGCAUUAACUGACGCUGAGGAGCGAAAGCAUGGGGAGCGAACAGG
rnacentral:rRNA from 1 species